rnacentral:rRNA from 1 species
GGUUAAGCGACUAAGCGUACACGGUGGAUGCCCUGGCAGUCAGAGGCGAUGAAGGACGUGCUAAUCUGCGAUAAGCGUCGGUAAGGUGAUAUGAACCGUUAUAACCGGCGAUUUCCGAAUGGGGAAACCCAGUGUGUUUCGACACACUAUCAUUAACUGAAUCCAUAGGUUAAUGAGGCGAACCGGGGGAACUGAAACAUCUAAGUACCCCGAGGAAAAGAAAUCAACCGAGAUUCCCCCAGUAGCGGCGAGCGAACGGGGAGCAGCCCAGAGCCUGAAUCAGUGUGUGUGUUAGUGGAAGCGUCUGGAAAGGCGCGCGAUACAGGGUGACAGCCCCGUACACAAAAAUGCACAUGCUGUGAGCUCGAUGAGUAGGGCGGGACACGUGGUAUCCUGUCUGAAUAUGGGGGGACCAUCCUCCAAGGCUAAAUACUCCUGACUGACCGAUAGUGAACCAGUACCGUGAGGGAAAGGCGAAAAGAACCCCGGCGAGGGGAGUGAAAAAGAACCUGAAACCGUGUACGUACAAGCAGUGGGAGCACGCUUCGGCGUGUGACUGCGUACCUUUUGUAUAAUGGGUCAGCGACUUAUAUUCUGUAGCAAGGUUAACCGAAUAGGGGAGCCGAAGGGAAACCGAGUCUUAACUGGGCGUUAAGUUGCAGGGUAUAGACCCGAAACCCGGUGAUCUAGCCAUGGGCAGGUUGAAGGUUGGGUAACACUAACUGGAGGACCGAACCGACUAAUGUUGAAAAAUUAGCGGAUGACUUGUGGCUGGGGGUGAAAGGCCAAUCAAACCGGGAGAUAGCUGGUUCUCCCCGAAAGCUAUUUAGGUAGCGCCUCGUGAAUUCAUCUCCGGGGGUAGAGCACUGUUUCGGCAAGGGGGUCAUCCCGACUUACCAACCCGAUGCAAACUGCGAAUACCGGAGAAUGUUAUCACGGGAGACACACGGCGGGUGCUAACGUCCGUCGUGAAGAGGGAAACAACCCAGACCGCCAGCUAAGGUCCCAAAGUCAUGGUUAAGUGGGAAACGAUGUGGGAAGGCCCAGACAGCCAGGAUGUUGGCUUAGAAGCAGCCAUCAUUUAAAGAAAGCGUAAUAGCUCACUGGUCGAGUCGGCCUGCGCGGAAGAUGUAACGGGGCUAAACCAUGCACCGAAGCUGCGGCAGCGACGCUGAUGCGUUGUUGGGUAGGGGAGCGUUCUGUAAGCCUGUGAAGGUGUGCUGUGAGGCAUGCUGGAGGUAUCAGAAGUGCGAAUGCUGACAUAAGUAACGAUAAAGCGGGUGAAAAGCCCGCUCGCCGGAAGACCAAGGGUUCCUGUCCAACGUUAAUCGGGGCAGGGUGAGUCGACCCCUAAGGCGAGGCCGAAAGGCGUAGUCGAUGGGAAACAGGUUAAUAUUCCUGUACUUGGUGUUACUGCGAAGGGGGGACGGAGAAGGCUAUGUUGGCCGGGCGACGGUUGUCCCGGUUUAAGCGUGUAGGCUGGUUUUCCAGGCAAAUCCGGAAAAUCAAGGCUGAGGCGUGAUGACGAGGCACUACGGUGCUGAAGCAACAAAUGCCCUGCUUCCAGGAAAAGCCUCUAAGCAUCAGGUAACAUCAAAUCGUACCCCAAACCGACACAGGUGGUCAGGUAGAGAAUACCAAGGCGCUUGAGAGAACUCGGGUGAAGGAACUAGGCAAAAUGGUGCCGUAACUUCGGGAGAAGGCACGCUGAUAUGUAGGUGAAGUCCCUCGCGGAUGGAGCUGAAAUCAGUCGAAGAUACCAGCUGGCUGCAACUGUUUAUUAAAAACACAGCACUGUGCAAACACGAAAGUGGACGUAUACGGUGUGACGCCUGCCCGGUGCCGGAAGGUUAAUUGAUGGGGU